rnacentral:rRNA from 1 species
CCCUUAGAUGUCCUGGGCCGCACGCGCGCUACACUGAACGGAUCAGCGCGUUUUCCCUUCCCGAGAGGGACGGGUAACCUGCUGAACCCCGUUCGUGGUAGGGAUCGGGGCUUGCAAUUAUUCCCCGUGAACCAGGAAUGCCCAGUAAGUGCAAGUCAUAAGCUUGCGUUGAUUACGUCCCUGCCCUUUGUACACACCGCCCGUCGCUACUACCGCUUGAACGUUUUAGUGAGGUACUCGGACUGAGCCUCAGAAGAUUCACGUCUUUUGUGCUGCUCGGGAAGAUUCCCAAACUUGAGCGUUUAGAGGAAGUAAAAGUCGUAACA